GAGGCCCACGUACCGCAAAAAAAAACAAAACAAAACGAAAAACCGAGGAGGAUAACCAAAGAUAAAGAGAGAGCAUCGUUUCAUAAUGAAAAAAAGGUCAAUUUAUCAGAAAUGUAUAGCGAUCCUAAAUGUAUAUUAAUAACAGUCUUACAAUAUGUGAAGCAAAAAUGGACAGAGCUAAAAGGAAAAAUAGACAAAUUUGCAAAUCACAGUUGCAGAUUUUAACACUUCUCACUUAGUAAUAGAUAAAGUAAGUAGACAAGUAUCAGUAGUGAUGGAAGAAUUGAACGCUAUUUAGCCAAUUAGACCUAACAACGUGAGGAUACACAUUCAAGUGCACAUUGAACAUUCACCAGAAUAUUCUAGGCCACCAAACAAAGCUCAAGAAAUUUCAGACUGAAAAACAUACGUAGCAUAUUCUCUGGCGCAAUAGAAAUAAAUUAGAAAUUGAUAACAACAAGACAACUAGAAAAUCCCUAAAUAUUUGGACAUUAAGUGCACUUCUGAAAAACCCUUCUGAAUGGGUCAAAGUAGAAAUCAAAAGAAAAAUUAGAUGAUACUACAAAAAAAUUAAUUAAGAAAAUUAAUCUCAAAAUAAGCACAAAAAGGGAAUAAUAAAAAUAAGAAUGAAAAUGAUAUAGGAAAAUCAAGGCAAAAGUUGGUUCACUGGAAGGAUGAAAAGGAUUAGUGUAAUUGAUAGCAAGACUGAUAAGAAAAAAGAAAUGAAAAGACAAAUAGCCAAUAAAUUUAACAACUUAGACAAAAUGAGCAAAUUCUUUGAAAACACAACUUUCCAAGACUGACACAAAAAGAAAUGGAACAUCUGAAUAGCUAAUCCCUACAUCUACUGAAAACAUUGAACUCAUCAUUCAAAACCUUCCCACAAAGAAAAUCCCAGGCCCACAUGGCUUUGUAAAUAAAUUCUAUCAAAUGUUUAAAGAAGAAACAACACCAAUCCUAACCUAUUUCAGAAAAUACAGGAAGGAAGAAUUUCCAAUCUGUUUUAUGAGUGCUGAUACCAAAGUAUGAGAAGGACAUUACAAGAAAAAUACCCCAAUAUCCUUCAUGAACAUAAACAUAAAAUCCUUUUAAUAUUAGCAAGUUAAAUGUAGAAAUAUAUUUAAAUGAUAAUACAUUAUGAUCAAGUGGGGUGUAUCCUUAAUUCAAAGUUGAUUAAGAUUUGAAAAUCAAUGUAAUUCACCACAUUAUAGGAUAAAUGAGAAAAUACAAUUGUCCAAAUAAAAGUAAAAAGAAAUUUAUCAACAUUCAAUAAUCAACAUUCAUAAUAAACAAAGCUUGACAAACUUUAACAAACUGAUGAACAUCUAUGAAAAACCUACCACUAACAUCAUGUUACAUAGUGAAAUGUCGAAUAUUUUUUCCCUAAGAUAAUGAACAAGGCAAGGAUGUCUGCUCUCAUUAUUUCUACUUAAUAUUGUAUUGGAAGUCCAGUGCAAUUAGGCAAGGAAAAUAAAUAAAAAGGCAUAAAGAUUAGGAAGCAAGAGGGAAUUCACUGGCGGUCCAGUGGUUAGGACUUGGUGCUUUCGCUGCCAGGACCUGGGUUCAAUCCCUGGUGGGGGAACUAAGAUCCCACAGGCCGCCCGUGGCGUGGCCAAAAAAAAAAAAAGAAAAAUAUUGGGUAGCAAGAACUAAAGUUCUUUAUUCACACAUGAUAUGAUUGUCUAUGUAGCAAAAUAACAAGGAAUCGUCCAAAAUACUAUCACUAAAAAGAAAAAUUUUUAUCAAGUUUACAAGGAUUUAUAUAACAAGGAUCAACAUAUAAAAACCAGUUGUAUUUAUGUACAAAUCAUUAAGCAAUUGGAAAAUAUAAAACAUUUUAACUACAAUUUAUAAUUGCAUUAAUAAAAACAAAAUACUUAAGUAAAUUCAAUGAAAGAUGAGCAGGACAUUGUGAAAAGAAAUUAAAUAAAUAACUGGAGAGAUACACCAUGUUUGUGGAUUGGAAGACUCAAUAUUGUUAAGAUGUCGAUCUUCUCCACAUUUAUAGAUUCAACCCAAUCAUCAUAAUCUCAGCAAACUUUUUUACAGAAAUUGACAGCAUAAUUUUUUUUGGAGGGGGCCGUGCCGCAUGGCAUACGGGAUCUUAGUUUCCUGACCAGGGAUUGAACCUGUGCCCCCUGCAGUGGAAUUUCGGAGUCUUAACCACUGGACCUCCAAGGAAGUCCCAACAAGAUCAUUUUAAAACUUUUCUGGAAAUGCAAGGGACUAGAAUAGCCAAACGGUCUUGAAAAAUAAAAGAAAGCCAGAGGACUUAUACUAAAUAAUUUCAGAAUUUAUUAUAAAGCUACAGUAAUCAAGGCACUGUGUUACUAUUUUAAGGAUAAAUAUAUAGAAAAUGAGACAGUCUAGAAAGUCCAGAAAUAAUUCCUCAUAUACACAGUCAGUUGAUUUUUGAUAAAGGUACUAAGACAUUUAAUGGGGAGAAGAUAGCCUUUUUCACAAGUGGGGUUUAAAAAACUAGGUAUUCAUAUUUUAGAAAAUGAACCUUGACUUUACUUCACCCUAUAUAUGAAAAUAAUUCACAAUGGAUCACAGGCCUAAAUACAAGACCUAAAACUAUAAAGCUUCUAGAAGAAAACAAAGGAGAAUGUCUUUAUGACUUAAGGGUAGGGAAUGAUUUCUUAGGACACAAAUUGUAUUUACCAUAAAUGGGGAAAAAAUGAUAAAUUGGACUUCAUCAAAAUUAAAAUGUCUGCUCAUCAGAAGACACUGUUAAGAAAAUGAAAAGACAAGCCAUAGAUUAGGAGAAAAUAUCCACAAUAUAUAUGUAUUUCUGAUAAUAUUCACAAUACAUAUGUAUUUCUGAUACAUAUGUACUUCACAAUACAUAUGUAUUUUCAAAAUAAUAAAGGAUUAAAGAUCCAUAAUAAAAGACAACCCAAUAAAGAGACUAAAGUCUUGAACAGACACUUUAAAAAGGAAGAUAUCUGGUUAGGAAAAAAGCACAUAAAAACGUGCUCAACAUGAUUCGUCAUCAGAGAAAUACAAAUUAAAACUGCAAUGAAAAAAAAAAAACUGCUCUGAGAUACUACUACAUACCCACCACCGUGGCUGAAGUUAAAACUACUGACAAUGCCAAGUGUGGUCAAGGAUAUAGAGCUAGAGCUCAUCUAUUGCUGGUAGAAUGUAAAUGGUAUAGGCACAUCUUGUUUCCUUUUUGUUUUUUGGGGGCCAUGCCACCUGGCUUGCGGGAUCUCAGUUUCCCAACCAGGGAUGGAACCCGGGCCACGGCAGUGAAAGCCCGGAAUCCUAACCACUAGGCCACCAGGGAACUCCCUAGGGACACCUUAUUUUACUGUGCUUUGACUUGUGCUUUGCAGAUGUUGCAUCUUUUAUAAAUUGAAGUUUUGUGGCAACCUGUGUCAAGCAAGUCUAUUCACGUCAUUUUUCCAACAGCAUUUGCUUACUUCGUGUCUCUGUGUCAUAUUCUUGAAAUAUUUCAAACUUUUCAGUGGUAAUUCUAGCAAUAUUUCCAACUUUCUCAUGAUGAUUAUUUUUGUGGUGGUUAUCUGUGAUCUGUGAUCAGUGAUCUUUGCCUUUUUUAUUUUUUCGGCCACACCGUGCGGCAUGCGGGAUCUUAGUUCCCCAACCAGAGAUGGAACCCGAGCCCCCUGCAGCGGAAGCGAGGAGUCCUAACCACUGCACCACCAGGGAAUUUCCUGUGAUCAGUGAUCUUUGAUGCUACUACUGUAAUUGUUUUGAGGCACAACGAACCAUACCCACAUAGGACUGAAAACUUCAUCAAUAAAGUUUGUAAAUUUUUUAGGAGCAGCAUAAAUGGUGACUCCGGGACCUCGAAGAGGAAGACACCUCAUUCAUACAGUUAAAAAUACCUGUCAAGUAAGCCAAUCCGAGGAUAAAAUCUUUUCCUUCAAAGUGUUUCCAGACGUGGCCUUUCUUUUUCUUUCAGAAAAUAAUAAGACUUCUGCUGUUAGUCUGAACAGAGCACUUGUCCUUUGAAAGCCAGUGAGAAGCACUUCACGGACUGUGUUCCCAUUUCCUGACAAGCUGUUUGCAAAUGCAGUCAUUGAGAGACCUGCUUCUGAUGAAGUUGAUGACUUUUAUGAAAGUUGACAAAACAUCUUUCAGAGAUGUCACAAAAGUCUUUAUUGCCCGUGUGUUGAGUGAUGACAACGUGGAGAGUUUUAUCACCAAGUUUGCAAAAUCAGAUUUGCAGGAGGUCCAGCUGGGUAGAGAAUGAAGCUUUUCUUCCCAGGCAAAGUUUUAUUUGGCAAAGACACUUUUUACUGCUUUCAAAAUGUCCACAGCCUUUGUAGUUUGCAAAAGCCACUCGGAAAGUAAGAAUUCUUUGGUAGCACCAGCACGCCCACAGUGAGGAGAGUGAAGCUGCUGUUUCCCCAGCGACCUGCUUCAAAAUGUUAAAAGAAAUGUCAUCUAUUCUAGAACAUAUCACACCAUGUGACAAGGAACCUGCUUCCAGUGUUUUCUUCUGGUCCAAUCCAAAAAGCAGCUGGAUAAUCUCUGUGCAUGUGCCAGGGCACUGUAACAUGUCCCCCCGACAGCGUGGGAGACUUUUCUCUGGGCGACUGGUGAGCAAUUUUGGAGGAUGUGCCAAUAAAAGCUUAUUGUGAAAUAGCAAA